rnacentral:rRNA from 1 species
CGGCGUGCCUAACACAUGCAAGUCGUACGAGAAAGCCGGCUUCGGCUGGUGAGUAAAGUGGCGCACGGGUGAGUAACGCGUGGAUAAUCUGCCCUUAAGUGUGGAAUAACGUACCGAAAGGUGCGCUAAUACCGCAUAAUGCCUGGCAACACAAGUUGUCCGGCCAAAGAAGGCCUCUGUUUACAAGCUUUCGCUUCAGGAUGAGUCCGCGUACCAUUAGCUUGUUGGUGGGGUAAUGGCCUACCAAGGCUGCGAUGGUUAGCUGGUCUGAGAGGAUGAUCAGCCACACUGGAACUGAGACACGGUCCAGACUCCUACGGGAGGCAGCAGUGAGGAAUAUUGCGCAAUGGGGGCAACCCUGACGCAGCAACGCCGCGUGAGUGAGGAAGGUUUUCGGACCGUAAAGCUCUGUCGAGUGGGAAGAAGUGUAUCAUGGCUAAUAUCCGUGAUAUUUGACGGUACCGCUAGAGGAAGCACCGGCUAACUCCGUG